UACGUAGGGUGCGAGCGUUGUCCGGAAUUAUUGGGCGUAAAGAGCUCGUAGGCGGUUUGUCGCGUCGGCCGUGAAAACUUGGGGCUUAACUCCAAGCUUGCGGUCGAUACGGGCAGACUUGAGUUCGGCAGGGGAGACUGGAAUUCCUGGUGUAGCGGUGAAAUGCGCAGAUAUCAGGAGGAACACCGGUGGCGAAGGCGGGUCUCUGGGCCGCCACUGACGCUGAGGAGCGAAAGCGUGGGGAGCGAACAGG
rnacentral:rRNA from 1 species